CGCGCUCAUUAAAAUUUACAUAUGUCACAUCCUGGAAUUGUAACAGGGCUUGUAGCUGUUCAGUUUUCCUUUCUGUCUCGCAACACAUGCUUUCAGACUGUGCUUCUGCACAGCCUGGGAGACAUCUGCUGGUGGAAGGUAUUGUAGCAUUUUGCAUGAAUACAGAAUUUGAAACACAGGCAGUCUGGACAGUAAUGACAGAGAUGGCAGUAAUAUCACACAUGUCAAGUAAUUCAGCAAGCAAAAGGUUAAGAGAAGACUGGCUAGAAAGCUGCACGACCAAAACCUGCUGAACGACAGCCAGGGAUCAGAAACGGUUCUCAAGGACAAGUGCCAGGUCUUUGGAAUAAACCCCACAAGCACAUUUUCAAAGCAAGUCUCCUCCUGACUAUGGGUGCUGUGCAGAUGGAGACUACUGGACAUCCUUUGUACCUUACAGUUUGUAUUCAACAGCAACAGGACAGAAGAAGGACAGGAAACCAGGAGAGGUUUGCCUUACUCUGUUGUUUUGUGGUUUUGUUUUUUGUUUGUUUGUUUUGUUUUGUUUUUCUUUCUUCUUUUUUUUCUUUUUUUCUAUUCUUUAUUAUUUUGUUAUCUUCCAGAAGUACCUUAAGUGCUGUGAUUAGUACUCUUUGUGUGCAGUUACCUAGCUUUCUUUUCAAAGAGAAGAAUUCACAAUGUUGCUGGUGUAGGGUUUUAAACACGAUCCCAUAUUGAUCCCUGCACUGUGUGCACGUGGCAGUGUUGGCAAGGUCAGAGGGCAGUUUUGGGCACAGGGAGGCUGAGG
rnacentral:lncRNA from 1 species